GAGCUCUAACACGGAGCUCUAACACGGAACUCUAACACGGAACUCUAACACGGAACUCUAGCACCGAGCUCUA